rnacentral:rRNA from 1 species
CCUACGGGGGGCUGCAGUGGGGAAUAUUGGACAAUGGGCGAAAGCCUGAUCCAGCCAUGUCGCGUGUGUGAAGAAGGCCUUCGGGUUGUAAAGCACUUUCAGUGGGGAAGAAAGCCUUGGGGCUAAUACCCUCGAGGAAGGACAUCACCCACAGAAGAAGCACCGGCUAACUCCGUGCCAGCAGCCGCGGUAAUACGGAGGGUGCGAGCGUUAAUCGGAAUUACUGGGCGUAAAGCGCGCGUAGGCGGUCUGAUAAGCCGGUUGUGAAAGCCCCGGGCUCAACCUGGGAACGGCAUCCGGAACUGUCAGGCUAGAGUGCAGGAGAGGAAGGUAGAAUUCCCGGUGUAGCGGUGAAAUGCGUAGAGAUCGGGAGGAAUACCAGUGGCGAAGGCGGCCUUCUGGACUGACACUGACGCUGAGGUGCGAAAGCGUGGGUAGCAAACAGGAUUAGAUACCCGGGUAGUC